UGGUGGAGCGAUUUGUCUGGUCAAUUCCGAUAACGAACGAGACUCUAGCCUACUAAAUAGUUCGGGGACCCCCACAAAGGGGCCCCGCUUCAACUUCUUAGAGGGACAGAUGGCGUUUAGCCACACGAGAUUGAGCAAUAACA
rnacentral:rRNA from 1 species